AUAACUAUUAUCACGACGUCCUUCAGCAGCAUAAGCUGCUCCAACCUCCAACACCGAACGUCUGAAAUCGUGAUCUACAUCAAAAUUUUUUGUUCAUUAUACAUUUUGUCCACUUUUUGUUCACAACUGAUUAGCGGCAGUUAAUCUUUUCGUCAAGAUCACCUAAAACAGAAAAUUACAAUGUCAGUCGUAAAAGUAUUCUAUCAAACAAUUUUGAGAAGGCCUUCCCGCUUCUUUGUUGUGGUAGCAGUUGGGUCACUGUUUUUUGAAAGAACACUCGAUAUUGGCAUUGAAAACUUAUAUGAUAGCAUGAACCGUGGUAAACAAUGGAAAGACAUUGCUGAUAAAUAUGUUUGAACAGGAUGACAUGAACAAUUAUGGUCAUAGCUACGUAGAACCAAUAUCUGUCAAUAUAAUUUCAAGAAUUUUGUAUAAUUUUCCCUUUUAAAAACUUCUAUCAAGAAACUUAUUUACGCAUAUUUAAUGUUAAGCAGAGUGUGAUAUCAAAUAUCUUCAAGACAAGAGUGCCAUAUAGUUAACGUUCAGUCCCUAACAUUGUUUGAUAUUAGAUAAUGUUUUUAAUUAUUUGAUGACAAUAUACAAGGGGACGUGUAAACUGGGACCGACCAGAUUUUUCAAUAAAUUACUUUUAGAUGUGUUUAUUUAUAUUUGGAACAACACAUGAUCUAACCAUAAAGUUGAUGAUA